rnacentral:rRNA from 1 species
GGAAGGGUAAUACGCGGCGAUCUGGCUGGGAGACAUCUCCUGUCCAGGAAAUGAAGUUCGCCGCGGGAGGAGUAAUGUCGUAUUAGCUUGUUGGUGGGGUAACGGCCCAGCAAGGCAAAGAUGCGUAGCGUGUGUGAGAGCACGAGCCGCGCCACUGGCACUGAGAGACUGGCCAGACUCCUACGGGAGGCUGCAGUCGAGGAUCUUUGGCAAUGGGCGCAAGCCUGACCAAGCGACGCCGCGUGUGCGAUGAAGGCCUUCGGGUUGUAAAGCACUGUCGAGGGGGAGUAAGACCCGAAAGGGUUUGAACUGUCCCUGGAGGAAGCACGGGCUAAGUUCGUGCCAGCAGCCGCGGUAAGACGAACCGUGCGAACGUUGUUCGGAAUCACUGGGCUUAAAGGGCGCGUAGGCGGGUUCGCAAGUCUGUGGUGAAAGCCUCCAGCUUAACUGGAGAAGUGCCGUGGAUACUGCGAAUCUUGAGGAGGGUAGGGGCAUCUGGAACGGUCGGUGGAGCGGUGAAAUGCGUUGAUAUCGACCGGAACUCCGGUGGCGAAGGCGAGGUGCUGGACCCUUUCUGACGCUGAGGCGCGAAAGCCAGGGGAGCAAACGGGAUUAGAUACCCCGGUAGUCCUGGCCCUAAACGUUGAGGACUAGGUUGUGGACUGAACAUGGGUUCACAGCCGGAGCAAAAGUGCUAAGUCCUCCGCCUGGGGAGUACGGUCGCAAGGCUGAAACUCAAAGGAAUUGACGGGGGCUCACACAAGCGGUGGAGCAUGUGGCUUAAUUCGAGGCUACGCGAAGAACCUUAUCCUGGGCUUGACAUGUCCGAAAGGGGCAGGAAGUAGGGAGCGGAAACGCCACCCGAACGGUAUCCAAUCCGGAACCUGCCACAGGUGCUGCAUGGCUGUCGUCAGCUCGUGUCGUGAGAUGUCGGGUUAAGUCCCAUAACGAGCGAAACCCCUGUUUCCAGUUGCCAGCGAGUAAAGUCGGGGACUCUGGAAAGACUGCCGGUGUCAAACCGGAGGAAGGUGGGGAUGACGUCAAGUCCUCAUGGCCUUUAUGCCCAGGGCUGCACACGUGCUACAAUGGCGUGAACAGAGGGACGCAAACCUGCGAAGGGGAGCAAAUCCCAAAAAACACGCCCCAGUUCAGAUCGGAGGCUGCAACUCGCCUCCGUAAGCCGGAAUCGCUAUAAUCGCGGUCAGCAACACCGCGGUGAUCUGUUCCUAGCAUGCAACUC